rnacentral:rRNA from 1 species
UUGUAUAAUUAAACUGAAACCUGAACUCUGAACAUAACCAAUCUCAUCUGAUCUCGGAAGCUAAGCAGGGUCAGACCUGGUUAGUACUAGGAUGGGAGACCAUCUAGGAAGUCCAGGUGCUGUAGGCA